UGAGUAAUGUCUGGGAAACUGCCUGAUGGAGGGGGAUAACUACUGGAAACGGUAGCUAAUACCGCAUAACGUCUUCGGACCAAAGUGGGGGACCUUCGGGCCUCAUGCCAUCAGAUGUGCCCAGAUGGGAUUAGCUAGUAGGUGGGGUAAUGGCUCACCUAGGCGACGAUCCCUAGCUGGUCUGAGAGGAUGACCAGCCACACUGGAACUGAGACACGGUCCAGACUCCUACGGGAGGCAGCAGUGGGGAAUAUUGCACAAUGGGCGCAAGCCUGAUGCAGCCAUGCCGCGUGUAUGAAGAAGGCCUUCGGGUUGUAAAGUACUUUCAGUGGGGAGGAAGGCGUUAAGGUUAAUAACCUUAGCGAUUGACGUUACCCGCAGAAGAAGCACCGGCUAACUCCGUGCCAGCAGCCGCGGUAAUACGGAGGGUGCAAGCGUUAAUCGGAAUUACUGGGCGUAAAGCGCACGCAGGCGGUCUGUCAAGUCGGAUGUGAAAUCCCCGGG
rnacentral:rRNA from 1 species